CCACCCCCUACCUCUGCAGGAACUCCGCCAGCCCCCCCAGGCAGCAAUGUGCCAUGCGCUCCCCUAACUCCUGGCUGAUGCGGGGUGCUCGCUCCGUGUGGUCUUCCAGCAGCUGCAUGGGUCAACGGGACAGGAGGUGAGGAUCCCCUCCCUCCAUAGCCCCAAGCGAUCUGGAUUCUGCCCAAUAUGACAAGCAAGGUGGUGCUACUGAGAGAGAUCGAACCCCCAAGCUUGCCCAGCCCUUCCAUUCCGAGUCUAGGGCUUGAAGCUUCCUCCGCCUAAUAGCCACCGAGUUGAAGGGUCUGUGCUUCAUUGUUGGAUGGUGCUAAGACUCUGCUCCUAGGUUCUGCUGAGCGAUUAGUUCAAGAUUGUCAGAGUCUGGGAUUAAAGAAUUGCAAAGGUU